GAUGAAGAACGUAGCGAAAUGCGAUACGUAAUGUGAAUUGCAGAAUUCAGUGAAUCAUCGAAUCUUUGAACGCACAUUGCGCCCGUCAGUAUUCUGGCGGGCAUGCCUGUUCGAGCGUCAUUACGCCCCUCAAGUCCCCUGUGGACUUGGUGUUGGGGAUCGGCGAGGCUGGUUUUCCAGCACAGCCGUCCCUUAAAUUAAUUGGCGGUCUCGCCGCGGCCCUCCUCUGCGCAGUAGUAAAACACUCGCAACAGGAGCCCGGCGCGGUCCACUGCCGUAAAACCCCCCAACUUUUUAUAGUUGACCUCGAAUCAGGUAGGACUACCCGCUGAACUUAAGCAUAUCAAUAACGGAGGA
rnacentral:misc_RNA from 1 species